GCAUUAAAUCAUCCGCCUGAGUAGUAUGCUCGCAAGAGUGAAACUUAAAGGAAUUGACGGGGAUCCGCACAAGCGGUGGAGCAUGUGGUUUAAUUUGAAGAUACGCGUAGAACCUUACCCGCUCUUGACAUCUUCCGCAAAGCUAUAGAGAUAUAGUGGAGGCUAACGGAAUGACAGAUGGUGCAUGGUUGUCGUCAGCUCGUGUCGUGAGAUGUUCGGUUAAGUCCUGCAACGAGCGCAACCCUUGUCCUUAGUUAGAUGAUCUAAGGAGACUGCCCGAGUAAUUGGGAGGAAGGUGGGGACGACGUCAAAUCAUCAUGCCUCUUACGAGCGGGGCAACACACGUGCUACAAUGGACGGUACAAAGAGAAGCAAGACAGCGAUGUGGAGCAAAUCUCAAAAAACCGUUCUCAGUUCGGAUUGUAGUCUGCAACUCGACUACAUGAAGUCGGAAUCGCUAGUAAUCGUAGAUCAGCUACGCUACGGUGAAUACGUUCUCGGGUCUUGUACACACCGCCCGUCACACCAUGGGAGCUGGUAAUGCCCGAAGUCGGUUUUGUUAACCACGGAGACAACUGCCUAAGGCAGGACUGGUGACUGGGGUG
rnacentral:rRNA from 1 species